UUGAAGUUGUUAGCGACCAGACCGUAAAUUUUCAAAAUAUGUUUGGCCAUGUGAAUUAUGAAGACCCUCACUUCAAUGUUGGCUUGCCAGUCUUCAGCAUUCAUGGAAAUCAUGAUGAUCCUGCUGGAGUGAACAAAAUUGCUAGGGAUUCCGACACCUUGAAAUGCGAGGAGGAGGAUCUAAUUCUUAAAGUCG